AGCUUUGCGCAGUGGUAAUAUCAUAGCCUAUGAAGGUCUAAGGAGGUGUGAUUAUGGCUAUUUAAAAACUUUACCCAAUACCCCAUUAAGUCUGUUCUUUGGCAGACUUGACAAUUUUUUACCGUCUCUCUGGAGA